AAAAUCCGUCGAUUUUGAAAAUCGUGAGG
rnacentral:tRNA from 1 species